ACUGCCGCCGGACGGAACCGGUCACGAGGGUUGGGGAGCCCGAUGACUGGCAGGUCUCCGAGUCUGGAACGGGUCUUAGGGAGCCCGGACCAGAGCGCUCUGGCGAAGGAG
rnacentral:ncRNA from 1 species